rnacentral:tRNA from 1 species
UAGGGAGAGCGUUAGACUGAAGAUCUAAAGGUCGCUGGUUCGAUCCCGGCUCGAGGCA